UUCAUUCUGAGUCGAAAAAAA
rnacentral:piRNA from 1 species